AAUAUUGUUCAGAAUAUCAGUAUGAGUAUCAUUGUUGUCAUAACACAACUGAAUGCGGUGCCAUGUUUGGGGAGACAUUUUGCAGAGAAAAUCACCUGUGCUACUCUUAAAUUCUUUUAUUACAACAGCCUGCAGUUCAUUCAUUAUUCAGUAGCACUGUUGAUUGACUUAAUGCUCUGUGGGAUUUCAUUGAGGAUAAUCUGGAGUAAACAUAUUAGUUGUCCUUGGUGGCCAUACUAGGGAGCCUGUGCUGCCUCCAAUCUGCACCCAAUCCACUUGUUUGAAAACAAUUUAUUAAGGUGUUCUUGACUCUGAUAGCAAAAUAUACAAGGGCUCUGUCUUGUUGUAGGAUUUUGAUAACUGCUAUUCCAAUUGUUGUGAGCUGCAGAUAAUCAUUACUAAAACAUAUGUUCAUAUGACUGCCCAUUAACAGAACUAUCAAAAAAAUAAGGUCCAAUAAUAUUCCUUGUUGUCAUGCUGGUCCAGCUCAUAACAUGUGGUGGCUUCUCCACUUUCUGCAACAGAAUAUGUACCUGUGUUGACUGUCAUCAUCAAUGUUCUUGUUUGAACUGAUGCAUAUUUAUUAUUGCAAAACUUCUCACCAAACAUACCAUCGUGUCCAGUUGUGGUAUAAUGAUGAUGAUGCUCU
rnacentral:lncRNA from 1 species